rnacentral:sRNA from 2 species
AAGAAAAUUUUGCCGAAUUUCUGUUCGCAGAAAACGGGGGAUCCAUUUUUGGGUGAAUUGAUCUCGCAGUAGAGUGAUCAUAGGGAACCUUCAACCGAACCCUCAAGCUAACCUCGUAGGCACCGGAAGGGGAAACU